rnacentral:rRNA from 1 species
UCCUACGGGAGGCAGCAGUGAGGAAUAUUGGACAAUGGGAGCAAUUCUGAUCCAGCCAUGCCGCGUGCAGGAAGACUGCCCUAGGGGUUGUAAACUGCUUUUAUACAGGAAGAAAAUGGUGUUCGAGUACUCUGUUGACGGUCCUGUAAGAAUAAGGAUGGGCUAACUCCGUCCCAGCAGCCGCGGUAAUACGGAGGAUCCAAGCGUUUUCCGGAAUCAUUGGGUUUAAAGGGUCCGUAGGCGGGAUGAUAAGUCAGUGGUGAAAUGUCUGCAGCUCAACUGUAGAAUUGCCAUUGAUACUGUUGUUCUAGAGUGUUUGAGAAGUGGUGAGAAUGUGUAGUGUAGCGGUGAAAUGCAUAGAUAUUGCUCAGAACACCGAUUGCGAAGGCAGAUCACUGUCAAUACACUGACGCUGAUGGACGAAAGCGUGGGUAGCAAACAGGAUUAGAUACCCUGGUAGUCCACGCCGUAAACGAUGGUUACUAGCUGUUGGGGUUAACUACGACUUCAGUUCUAAGCUAAAGCGUAAGAUCCCACUGACUAGACGAUUU